rnacentral:rRNA from 1 species
AGGUCGAACAGACCUUCUUUAUAUAACCUCUUCAUUAUAUAGAUUUUUUAAUUCAACAUCGAGGUCGCAACCUUCCCCUUCGAUAAGAACUCUCAAAGGAAAUUACGCUGUUAUCCCUAAAGUAACUUAGCCUACUAAUCUUCAAAAAGGAUCUUUCUACAAACUUAUCACUAAUAAUUGUAUAACUAUUAAGCAGUUAAAAUAAAUUUUACUUAUGUCUCCCCAACAUAACAAAUAAAUUAAAUUAAAUUUUUAUAUUAUAAAUUCACUAAAAUAUAACUACAAUGUAAAGUUUUAUAGGGUCUUAUCGUCCCCCUAGUUUAUUUAAGCCUUUUCACUUAAAAGUUAAAUUCAACAUCAAUAUAAAGAGAGUCAUUCUUUUGUCUAGCCAUUCAUACAAGAUUCCAAUUAAAAACCUAAUGAUUAUGCUACCUUUGCACAGUUAUUAAUACUGCGGCCCUUUAAUUUAAAAUCAGGGGGCAGGCCAAAUUAUUUAUAUCUACAAACAAAC